rnacentral:lncRNA from 1 species
CUACUUCUGCACCCUAUAAAUAGCAAAAAAGAAUGUUUGUAAAGAGAUCCCGAAAAAACCGCUUUUACAGAGAAUUUCGUACAACCGUCAGAGUACUUUGCGGCUCGGCUCGUACACUCAGUUUUUAGCUCGUCCAUUUUUGUAAUCGUCGGCUCGUCAUUAAAUAAGAGAUUCUUCUUUCACCCUUAAAACUACGAAAACGUACUUGUGUGAUUUUGAGGAUCAACAGUUGGCGCGCCAGGU